rnacentral:rRNA from 1 species
GUGGGGAAUCUUGGACAAUGGGCGAAAGCCUGAUCCAGCGACGCCGCGUGGGUGAUGAAGGCCUUCGGGUCGUAAAGCCCUGUUGGAGGGGAAAGAAAAAAGCGCGUUCAAAUAGGGCGUGUUCUUGACGGUACCCCUUCAGAAAGCACCGGCUAACUCUGUGCCAGCAGCCGCGGUAAGACAGAGGGUGCAAACGUUGCUCGGAAUUACUGGGCGUAAAGCGCGUGUAGGCGGGCCUGCAAGUCAGAUGUGAAAGCCCUGGGCUCAACCCAGGAAUUGCAUUUGAAACUGCAGGUCUAGAGUGGUGGAGAGGGAAGUGGAAUUCCUGGUGUAGAGGUGAAAUUCGUAGAUAUCAGGAGGAACACCGGUGGCGAAGGCGGCUUCCUGGACACCUACUGACGCUGAGACGCGAAAGCGUGGGGAGCAAACAGGAUUAGAAACCCCAGUAGUCC